rnacentral:rRNA from 1 species
UAUGUAGGCGGUUCGGAAAGUCAGAUGUGAAAGCCCGGGGCUCAACCCCGGAACUGCAUCCGAUACUCCCAAACUAGAGUAAUGGAGGGGUGACUGGAAUUCUCGGUGUAGCAGUGAAAUGCGUAGAUAUCGAGAGGAACACUCGUGGCGAAGGCGAGUCACUGGACAUUUACUGACGCUGAGAUACGAAGGCUAGGGUAGCGAAAG